rnacentral:rRNA from 1 species
UCGAUUGAGUUUGAUCCUGGCUCAGAAUGAACGUGGGCGGCGUGGAUUAGGCAUGCAAGUCGUGCGAGAAGUUUCCCUGCUUGCAGGGAAAUGGACAGCGGCGAAAGGGAGAGUGACGCGUGGAUUAUCUGCCCCGAGACCCGGGAUAGCGGCGGGAAACUGCCGGUAAUACCGGAUAAUGUCUCCGGACCAAAGGUGUGAUUCCGUCUUGGGAUGAGUCCGCGUCCUAUUAGCUUGUUGGUGGGGUAAUGGCCUACCAAGGCUUAGAUGGGUACCGGGUGUGAGAGCAUGGCCCGGCUCACUGGGACUGAGACACUGCCCAGACACCUACGGGUGGCUGCAGUCGAGAAUCUUCGGCAAUGGACGCAAGUCUGACCGAGCGACGCCGCGUGCGGGAUGAAGGCCUUCGGGUUGUAAACCGCUGUCAGAGGGGCGGAAAUGCAUAGGGGCAAUCCCCUAUGUUUGACCUAACCUCAGAGGAAGUACGGGCUAAGUUCGUGCCAGCAGCCGCGGUAAGACGAACCGUACGAACGUUAUUCGGAAUCACUGGGCUUAAAGGGUGCGUAGGCGGCCUGAUAAGUUGNGUGUGAAAUCCCUCGGCUCAACCGAGGAACUGCGCCCAAUACUGUCAGGCUUGAGGGAGAUAGAGGUGAGCGGAACUGAUGGUGGAGCGGUGAAAUGCGUUGAUAUCAUCAGGAACACCAGUUGCGAAGGCGGCUCACUGGGUCUCUUCUGACGCUGAGGCACGAAAGCUAGGGUAGCGAACGGGAUUAGAUACCCUGGUAGUC